GCUGGGUGUGGUGGUGGACACCUGUAAUCCCAGCUACACGGGAGGCUGAGGCGGGAGAAUCGCUUGAACCUGGGAGGUGGAGGUUGCAGUGAGCUGAGAUUGUGCCACUGCAUUCCAGAUUGGGUGACAAAGUGAGACUCCGUCUCAAAAAAAAAAAAAAAAAAAAAAGAUGUUCAUUUGUGCUUUAUUAUUUAUAAUAACAAAUAUAAUUUUUUUUUUUUUAAGAUGACGUCUCCCUCUGUCCCCCAGGCUAGAGUGCAGUGGUGCGACGGCAGCUCACUGCAAUCUCUGCCUCCCAGGUUCAAGCGAUUCUCCUGCCUCAG
rnacentral:SRP_RNA from 1 species